GGUGAAGGAAGAGAGCUUUCUUCGGUCCACUCAUGGAGUAAUAUGUGAGAUUUAAUUGACUCUCGACUCAUUCAUCCAAAUACCAAAUGAAAGAACAUGUUCUCAUAUGGUAAAUGAAUGAAUGAUGCGAGAGACAAAUUGAGUCUUCACUUCUCUAUGCUUGGACUGAAGGGAGCUCCCUAUUUUUAUUUU
rfam:Arabidopsis lyrata subsp. lyrata unplaced genomic scaffold ARALYscaffold_7, whole genome shotgun sequence.